rnacentral:rRNA from 1 species
CCUACGAGUGGCUGCAGUGGGGAAUAUUGCACAAUGGGGGAAACCCUGAUGCAGCGAAGCAGCGUGAGUGAUGAAGUAUUUAGGUAUGUAAAGCUCUAUCAGCAGGGAAGAAAAUGACGGUACCUGAUUAAGAUGCCCCGUCUAACUACGUGCCAGCAGCCGCGGUAAUCGGUAGGGGGCAAGCGUUAUCCGGAGUUACUGGGUGUAAAGGGAGAGUAGACGGCAGCACAAGUCUGGAGUGAACUGCCGGGGCCUAACCCCGGAACUGAUUUGGAAACUGGGCAGCUAGAGUGCAGGAAAGGUAAGUGGAAUUAGUAGUGUAGCGGGGAAAUGCGUAGAUAUGAGGAGGAACACCAGUGGCGAAGGCGGCUUACUGGACUGUAACUGACGUUGAGGCUCGAAAGCGUGGGGAGCAAACAGGAUUAGAGACCCCAGUAGUC